ensembl:lncRNA
UCAACAUUUUGGGGGUUUUGAGUUUGCGCUCACCCCCAUUUUUAAUGAACACCUUUAAUAACGGUAGAAAGGAAAUUAUUUAUUUAUUUUUAAAUGACUUUUUUUUUUUUUUUUUUGUGACCUAAAGGUGUUUGUGGUUUGGUAGCCAAGCAUAAAAUUGACAACUGAAAUGGGGUUAAUGAGUACAGGAGCACCAAACGAUCAGUAGAAUGAACACUUCUUUCUUUACCUAAUUUCCUCUGGGAUUAAUAAAGUAUUCUGAAUCUCAUUACCAUCCCAGUCUUGAUUUUUAUGGCCCUCCUCUUUAAGGAGAUUAAAGCCUUUCCUCUCCCUUACAAAAUCACCAGCCUUCAAUUAAAUCCUUCUCUCUCUCCACCCCUUCCACCGUCCUGCUGUCCUCAGGCCCUCAUUCUUGCCUGCAGCUUACUCCGUCUCAGUGCUUCUUUACAGGUGCAUUUGUCUUGCUUUAAAGGGAGUCAGUCACCUCCAGGACUUUACACGCUCUAUAAGCCCUUUCCUGAUCCAGAGGUCACCAGGUUGUCAUGGAAACACAAAGUAUAACCUGGUUGAUGGUGCUGCUGGGGUUGUACAUCCUGUUCAUCACAGGGUCGAGCGAGUUAGUCUGUUACACUGCAGUGGAAUCACUGGACUUAGGUUGCCUCCUGCAGUGGGAUUGUCCCCAUGCCAGUCCUAAUACCACCUACACUGUGCAGACAAAGACGCAGGGGGACCCGUGGCAGGAUGUGCCAUGGUGCAUCUGGAUCUCGUCCCGAAGCUGUGACAUCUCUCAGGUCUUCUCAAACUUUGAGCUCUACAACAUGAUUCGCCUUGGUGUUCACCUCAGUCCCAGCUCCACUGUGUGGCUCAAACCACGCAAGUUUGACUACAGUGACUUCAACUUCAGUCCACCUUCUGUUUCCGUCUCUUUGAAAGACGACCAGAUGGUGGUGCAGGUGCACUUCCCCUGUGCUGCCAACAGGAGGUGCUCUCUGGAGAGGUGCUGUCCCAUCUCUAAGUUGAUUGAUCCCUGGACCACAGUGACUGUGUAUACUGAGCCGAGUGGUGCAGAAUACCAGAGCCGCACAGUCUGGACUCAGGAGGUCGUGUCGUAUGUGGAGUUCUCCGGUUUGCCUCUGGGUCAGAAAUAUUGUGCUGAGGCCAACUUCUCCUUCCCAACCUUUGCCAUGGCGGCUUCACCGAAAUCAGCCCCUCAGUGCGUUGAAACAGUCGCCAGUUCAGGGCUGCUGCCAGCGCUGUGUAUGGGAAUCGGGCUGACUUCCCUUCUUCUUUUCCCAAUUCUCAUCAUGUAUCUACAAAAAUCAAGACAAGCUACACCAGCUACUGAGAAUCAGCCCAAGGUUCCGUCGUCUGCUCAAGAGCCGAUCCCUUUGGUUCCUCUGUCCCCGGGUAUAGUUGACCCUUGUGAGAUCCACUUGGAGUUUAUUCCUGACCAUGUUUCCACUGAGCCCUUUUCUGGCAUUGUGUCCAAUCAGAAUCUAAAUCACAAACAGGGAAGCAUGCACUCCAGCAAUCGUCUCAAUUAUGACACCAAAUCGGAUGAAGUGUACUGGGACAGCGGAGGGAUGGAGCUAGAUCGCGGCCUGGACUCUGGCAUCAGCAUCCCACUUGUUUCUCGCUCUUCUGAAGAGACAUGUGAGCCCCAUGGAGACUGAAAGGUUGAGAGCUUUCUCUUCGUGAAUGUUGCUCUGUAAGGCUGGAGUUUGCCUCUUUCUCCCUCAGGGAUGAAAUAGGAGACUAAACUGCUCAAAGUAUGGACUGGUCCAUUUAAAAUGUUUGGAUGUGUUUCAUUUAUUAUGGUCAAACACAUUAUGAUUAUCUGGAAGUUGACAACAAGUUGUCUUCAUAGAUUUUGGAAGCUAGACCUUUAAGCAAACAUUGAUGAGAAGGCCCUAAACACAGGAUAAAUUGAAGCCUUAAAAACUAUAGUUUCAGAAAACCUUUUCUGCUGAUGAAAACCAAGUGAUAGGACUGAAACCUAGUGACUGACUGUUAAAUAGAUAUCCAGGUUCAAAAAUGAACUGUAACAGGAAACAAUUGUCUUUUCCCCAGUUUGUAAGUACACAUACAUAAAAUCUUUAGCUGAAGUCAAGAGCACCUGGUUAGAUUUUUUUGUCUACAAAAAAUAAAUAAAUCUGCAGAACUGAGUUAACUACAAUUACAUUAAAAAAAGAACAUUUUCACAGGACUGGAUAGAGUCUUAAAAAAUGAGUACACCCCAUGAUUUGGGUGUCCAGAGGAGUUCAUGGUUCAUGGUGUUUUUCUGUUUUAGUUUUUCUGUGAAGAACUUUGUGAUUUUUGUCUUGAAAGGUGC